rnacentral:rRNA from 1 species
CUACGUGCCAGSCAGCCSCGGUAAUACGUAGGUGSCAAGCGUUGUCCGGAAUUAUUGGGCGUAAAGCGCGCGCAGGCGGAUUGGUCAGUCUGUCUUAAAAGUUCGGGGCUUAACCCCGUGAUGGGAUGGAAACUGCCAAUCUAGAGUAUCGGAGAGGAAAGUGGAAUUCCUAGUGUAGCGGUGAAAUGCGUAGAUAUUAGGAAGAACACCAGUGGCGAAGGCGACUUUCUGGACGAAAACUGACGCUGAGGCGCGAAAGCCAGGGGAGCGAACGGGAUUAGAUACCCCGGUAGUCCUGGCCGUAAACGAUGGGUACUAGGUGUAGGAGGUAUCGACCCCUUCUGUGCCGGAGUUAACGCAAUAAGUACCCCGCCUGGGGAGUACGACCGCAAGGUUGAAACUCAAAGGAAUUGACGGGGGCCCGCACAAGCGGUGGAGUAUGUGGUUUAAUUCGACGCAACGCGAAGAACCUUACCAGGUCUUGACAU